CAAUAGCGUAUAUUAAAGUUGUUGCGGUAAAAAAGCUCGUAGUUGGAUUUCUACCGAAGAUAGCCGGUCGGGUCUUCGACCUUGUAUCUGGUUUUGUCUUUGGUAUCCUCAUAGGGAACGUUUCUGCGCUUUAUUGCGUGGUGCGGUAUCUAUGACUUUUACUUUGAGGAAAUUAGAGUGUUCACGGCAGGCAAACGCCUUGAAUAUAUUAGCAUGGAAUAAUAACAUAGGAUCUUCGUCCUAUUUUGUUGGUUUCUAGGGCUAAGAUAAUGAUUAAUAGGGAUAAUUGGGGGCAUCUGUAUCAACGCGUCAGAGGUGGAAUUCUUGGAUUGCGUUGCGACAAACAACUGCGAAAGCAUUUGCCAAGGAUGUUUUCAUUGA
rnacentral:rRNA from 1 species